rnacentral:rRNA from 1 species
UACGAAGGGCGCAAGCGUUGUCCGGAAUUAUUGGGCGUAAAGAGCUCGUAGGCGGUUUGUCGCGUCUGCUGUGAAAACCUAAGGCUCAACCUUGGGCUUGCAGUGGGUACGGGCAGACUAGAGUGCGGUAGGGGUGACUGGAAUUCCUGGUGUAGCGGUGGAAUGCGCAGAUAUCAGGAGGAACACCGAUGGCGAAGGCAGAUCUCUGGGCCGUAACUGACGCUGAGGAGCGAAAGCAUGGGGAGCGAACAGG